rnacentral:rRNA from 1 species
GAUGAACGCUGGCGGCGUGCCUAACACAUGCAAGUCGAGCGAUCUUCUUCGGAAGAGAGCGGCGGACGGGUGAGUAACGCGUGGGUAACCUACCCUGUACACACGGAUAACAUACCGAAAGGUAUGCUAAUACGAGAUAAUAUGCUUUUAUCGCAUGGUAGAAGUAUCAAAGCUUUUGCGGUACAGGAUGGACCCGCGUCUGAUUAGCUAGUUGGUGAGGUAACGGCUCACCAAGGCGACGAUCAGUAGCCGACCUGAGAGGGUGAUCGGCCACAUUGGAACUGAGACACGGUCCAAACUCCUACGGGAGGCUG